GAGAGUGGUGUUGAAAACAAUUAAGGAUUUGAUUCCUAGAAGUGCUGCGGUUUAAAUGAAUAUAUUUUUAUUGUUUUUUUAGAACUUGAUUACUGACUUCCCCAAGCACUACUCGGCGAACAAAGUUACUAAAUCUCAACUUGGCAGAUAUUUUUAAAGUUUUUUUAGAACUUGAUUACAGACUUCCCCCAGCAAUACUCGGGCAAACGAAGUAACUAAAUCUUAACUUGGUUAAAAAGGACCAGGUCAGUUUGCGUUAUGUUGGACGGCAGCUUUUAGCCGGCCGAAUCAUAGGUACUUUCUUAAGUUUAUGUGUAUAAUAUUUUAAAGUGGUUGUGUCAGAGCAGGAAGUUAAUAGGAAGCUAAGUCCUUAUAUAAACAGAUAUGAGAAUCAAUAAGAAGGAUAUGUGCCAAACAUCAAGAGGAUAGGUUGAGGUCUUCAGGGAUCUUAUGCAACUUUAUUUUGUUAUAGCAUCCAAGUUUUUUGACGUAAAACAUUUAAACUUUAUGUAUUCUAUAAAUUAAUGUUCUGAAUC
rnacentral:sRNA from 1 species